ACAUCUGCACCCUCACCCGGACCAUCCCAGGUCUGCUCAAGAUGGGACAGAUGGUAGCCUGGCUUUCUUCUACCUGAAGUGGGUCAGGAUGUUGCUUUGGGCUCGUGUGCUUUCAAGAGGAGCGUAACACAUCGCAGUGGCAGCAUAUAUAUACAAAACAACGAGGGGCCAAGGAUGGAGCCUUGAGGAACACCACAGGUCAGAGGGGCCACAGAAGAGGAGGCAUUUCCCAUGGCUACUGAGAAAGUUCUGUUUGAUGAAUAGGAUUAAUCCAGUCUAGAGCAGUGUCCCUGAUGCCAACCCAAGGUGAUCCAAUAGGAUAGUGAUCCAGUGUCGAAUGCAAAGCUCAAAUCAAGAGGAAUUAAAAUCGAACAAUCACCAGCAUCAGUAAAAGGUCGUUUGAUGAGAGCAGUUUUUGGUGCUAUGACAUGCACAGAAACCUGAUCAAAAUUUGUCAAAAACAACAUUAUUAUUCAUAAAGAAAUCAACCAUAAGUAGACAAUCAUUUCUAAUACUUCUGAUAAAAAUGGUAAUAAAUGGGUCUCAAUUUUUUAAAAUCAAUAGGGUUGAGGUUUCUUUUGCAGUGGGUGUACUACUGCUUGCUUAAGGCAGGAGGGAACACAGCCAACGGAUAGAGAGCUAUUUACAAAAGAUAAAAUAGUGGGUUCAAUACUGUUAAAACCAUCUUUGAGAAAUCUGGCAGGCAUAAGAUCUGAAGGACUCGAUGAAUGCCUUAAUUUGGCCAUUUUGUCCUUAAAGUGCACAGUGAAAGGGCCUCAAAUUUACUGAGCAAAGCAGAGGGGUUGCAGUGUGGGUGUGAAGAAGGAGAAGGGUUACCAGUGAUAUCAGGGACGUGCAGAGGAUGUUAAAGGCACAGGGCCCCAGGUUGAUUUUUGCAAAUAAUUAAAUAAGAUUAUGCCUGGAAUGACUGCU